rnacentral:snRNA from 1 species
GCUUGCUUCGGCAGCACACACUAAAACUGGACCAAUUCAGAGUUAGCCUGGCCCCUGCCUAAGGAUGACACGCAAAUCCGUGAGGCAUUCCGUAUUUUU